GGCCAUGUGAAAUCGGAUAGGUGGAUGAAUGUGGCGUGCUAAGAGUGGCUGGUCAAAAGUCAACUUUUGGUCCAUACUCAAAAUGAAAUGGAAACAAUUGGAAUUUGUAGCUGCUUUGGUGCGUGCGUGUCCCCAGUUCAAACAUGGAUUAUACAUCAUUUACCUUGAGUUUAUCGGCAAUGUAUAACUUAUGAAGUACGAGGAUGUACUUAAAUGAGAUGCAUGAUGUAUUACUAAUCCUCAAACAUGGUAUGUGAAUAUAUGUGAAGAGAAUAAUAUUUGAGGAUUUCAUUUAUACGAGAAGCAAUGAAAUUUAUAUUGUUAAGACACUUCAUAUGUCAGGCAUUGAAAACAUUUGGUAAUAUUGAGAAUUUUUAAGUGAUGUGAUCAUGAAAGGGAGAAGAUACACGUUGCACUCUUUUUCCUUUGAGCAAGGCUUUGUCCCACUGGGUUUUCCUGUCAAGAUUUUUAAUGAGGCAACAUCCCUAAGCGUAUCAAAAGAAUUAUGUACUAUUUUCCCUUCACUAGAAUUUUGUCCCAUUGGGUUUUAUCUAGUAAGGUUUUAAUGAGGCAUAAUGUCUUUAGUCGAUGGACAUCCAAGUGGGAGUGUUAUAAAUAUUAUAUAUGGAAUGGAUGUCCAUAUAUUGAAUGGUAAUCUUUACUAUGAUUAGGAGAUUGUUUUCUUAGAGGAUACUCCAGCUUGUAACUAUAUAUACCUUUUUAUGAGAUGAAUAAAAGAAAUCUUUCUCUCUA